GUGCUGGUUAUGUUAUGACUGCAAUGAUUGGAGAAAGAUAUAAUGUUAUAGAAGAAGAUAAACACUAAAUAGAAUAGAAAGAUAUAAUGUUAUAGAAGAAGAUAAACAGUAAAUAGAAUAGAACAUUCUAAAUGGUAUAGUUCAUAUUAAUAUUAAUGAAAUUAUAAAAUAGUUUAAUAAUAGUGGAGGUAAUGUUUACCAAAACGUCUACCCAAAUCUUUCAUAAACUAAAUCCAAAACACUAAUCACUAAAUCCUAAAAAGAAAUAUAAAUUUUAAUCUAAAUAUUAAAUCUGUACAUAGUGCAUAAUAUGAAAUAUUGUCAUAAUAGAGUAGUAACAAAUGAAAUAGCAUAGUACAUAGUAACAAAUGAAAUAGUAAUACUAAUCACUAAACUUUAAAAGAAAAUAUAAACCCAAAACACUAAUCACUAAACCCCAAAAAGAAAUAUAAACCUUAGCACAAAUAUCAAAUCUGCACAUAAUACAUAAUAUGAAUCAUUAUCAAAAUAGAGUAGUAACAAACCAAAUAGGAAAGAAGGUAAUGAUUACCCUAAAGUUAACCCAAACCUUCCAUAAACUAAAUCCAAAACACUAAUCACUAAAUCCUAAAAAAAAU
rnacentral:lncRNA from 1 species